GAGUUUGAUCCUGGCUCAGAUUGAACGCUGGCGGCAUGCCUUACACAUGCAAGUCGAACGGCAGCACGGGAGCUUGCUCCUGGUGGCGAGUGGCGAACGGGUGAGUAAUGCAUCGGAACGUACCCUGGAGUGGGGGAUAACGUAGCGAAAGUUACGCUAAUACCGCAUAUUCUGUGAGCAGGAAAGCGGGGGACCUUCGGGCCUCGCGCUCUUGGAGCGGCCGAUGUCGGAUUAGCUAGUUGGUGAGGUAAAGGCUCACCAAGGCGACGAUCCGUAGCAGGUCUGAGAGGAUGAUCUGCCACACUGGAGCUGAGACACGGUCCAGACUCCUACGGGAGGCAGCAGUGGGGAAUAUUGGACAAUGGGCGAAAGCCUGAUCCAGCCAUGCCGCGUGUGUGAAGAAGGUCUUCGGAUUGUAAAGCACUUUAAGUUGGGAGGAAGGGCAGUAAGUUAAUACCUUGCUGUUUUGACGUUACCGACAGAAUAAGCACCGGCUAACU
rnacentral:rRNA from 1 species